rnacentral:miRNA from 1 species
UAAAAGGUUCAGAUGCUAGGAC